rnacentral:rRNA from 1 species
AUUGAACGCUGGCGGCAGGCCUAACACAUGCAAGUCGAGCGGCUGAAGGGUGCUUGCUUCUGGAUUCAGCGGCGGACGGGUGAGUAAUGCCUAGGAAUCUGCCUGGCUGCGGGGGAUAACGUCCGGAAACGGGCGCUCAUACCGUAUUAGUCCUGAGGGCGAACGUGGGGGAUCUUCGGAUCUUCCGCUAUCACACGAGUCUAGGUCCGAUUAGCUAGUUGGGGGGGUAAAGGCCUACCAAGGCGACGAUGCGAAACUGGGCUGCGAGGCUGAUCAGUCACACUUGAACUGAAACACGGUCCAAGCUCCUUCGGGAAGCAACAGGGGGGAAAAUUGGACAAUGGGCGGAAACCUUGACCAGCCAAGCCGCGGUUGGGAAGAAAGGCUUCGGAUUUUAAAGCACUUUUAGUUGGGAAAAAAAGCAGGAAGUUAAUACCUUGCUUGUUUGACGUUACCAACAGAAUAAGCACCGGCUAACUUCGUG